rnacentral:rRNA from 1 species
AACGUAGGAGACGAGCGUUAUCCGGAAUCACUGGGCGUAAAGGGCGCGUAGGUGGUCUGAUAAGGGUGUGGUGAAAGCCCGGGGCUCAACCCCGGGUCGGCCGUGCCGACUGUUAGACUAGAGUACUGUAGGGGCAGGCGGAAUUCCUGGUGUAGCGGUGGAAUGCGCAGAUAUCAGGAGGAACACCGGUGGCGAAGGCGGAUCUCUGGGCCUUACCUGACGCUCAGGCGCGAAAGCUAGGGGAGCGAACAGG